rnacentral:rRNA from 1 species
UACGUAGGGGGCUAGCGUUGUCCGGAUUAUUGGGCGUAAAGAGCGUGUAGGCGGCCAGGUAGGUCUGCUGUGAAAACUCGAGGCUCAACCUCGAGACGUCGGCGGAAACCAUCUGGCUAGAGUCCGGAAGAGGAGAGUGGAAUUCCCUGGUGUAGCGGUGAAAUGCGCAGAUAUCAGGAAGAACACCCGUGGCGAAGGCGGCUCUCUGGGACGGUACUGACGCUGAGACGCGAAAAGCGUGGGGAGCGAACAGG